rnacentral:misc_RNA from 1 species
GAAAUGCGAUAAGUAAUGUGAAUUGCAGAAUUCCGUGAAUCAUCAAAUCUUUGAACGCAUAUUGCACUUCUUGGUAUUCCGAGGAGUAUAUCUGUUUGAGAAUAAGUAUUAAACAUCAAAAUUAAAUUUGUUUUUAAUUUUGUAUUUGAGGAUUAUAAUUUUUUUUAAAAGUAAUCCUUUAAAUAGAUUUAAACGUUUUAGAAUCAAAUGGUAUACUAAAACUGAAAGCAUGACCAAUGAAGUUUUUUUUACUUCUAAAAGAUUGCGAAAAGUUUUUAAUAGUAUUCCGUAAAAAAGUUUGAUUAUUAAAAUGUUUCUUUUUUUAAAAUAUUACGAAAAAGUUUUUAAAAAAACUUUUUUAAGACUCGAUCUCAAAUCAGAUAAGAUUACCCGCUGAACUUAA